rnacentral:lncRNA from 1 species
CAAUAUCUCUGCUGGUGUGCUAUCACCUCCUGGCCUCUCACCUGGUGCAGCCAGUCCAGGGAGAGGAUGGGGAUCCCCCGCCCCAGGGCACACAGGAACUUGACCGUGCGGCGGACUCGAUCAGUCACCAGGUGGGAAGCCUCUGCCACUGAGCUGGCCAGACUCCCACCCAGGGCCAGCACCGCCCGUUCUCCACGGGCAUCCACCACACCUGUGAAGAGAACCUGUGGAGGGAGUUAGCCUAAGCUGGUCACGGCAACCCAUGCCAUCAGUGUCUAUCUCUGAACCCCUAAGUCUCCUCCCAUCCUCCCAUGUCUGUCUCCCACCAAGCCCCAGGCCCCUUCUCUCCUACUUUGGGUGCUGUGGACUCUUGGUUAGGUUUGACCCGCCGAAGGCUGCAGCUUGGGAUUCCCCUGGGCUCCUCCUCUGUUUGGUCUCUCUUUCUCUUGCCUGGUCCUGGAACCACUGCCACCUGGGAUUGAGAAAGAUCUUGCUGGGAGUUUCCGAGCCUCCAAGCCCUUUCCUAGCUUCAUGGCCCCAGCCCUCACCUCACCUCGUCCUUCCUUGGGCUCUCUGCUGAAUCUUCUUCCUCUUUGUGGAGGGACACGGUCUUCUGUUGGAGCCGUUUUUGAAGUGGGGGUGAAUCCACAGUAGCCAAAGGCCUCUUGCGGCUCUGAGAGGGAUUAGACUGGGGCUCUGGGGUGAACUCAGAUCUGCCUGCUGCCUCUACCUUUUGGAUCUGGGUAGCAUGAGUGGGGGCCUCAGGAAGCUGGGCAAGAGCAGGCUCGGGAAUGGUCCUAAGAGACUCCACUGCUCUCACUGCUCGUCUUUGGUUCUUUGAGGAUCGAGAGUUAGGUUCAGGGGGUGCAGAGUGGGGCUCAUGGACAAUGGGAGCUGUGAAGGACCCAUGCUUCCUUGUGGCCCUCCGCUUCCUGCUGCAGUUGGCUUGAGGGAUGGGCUCAGGGGGAACAGGCUGGCCUAUGGGGUCAGGAUUCUGGGAUUCAUGGGUGGUAAGAACUGGCACAGCACUUACUGUAGACCUUAGUGUCUUACCCUGACCACCCUCAGCUAUAGCCUUAGGGGUGACCAGUUGAUCUAUGGGGUUGAGAGAUUCAAGGUCAGAGGCUGUAGAUUCAAUUGGUUGGGGGAUCUUGACAGAGGACCUAUGUAUCCUUCCCCGAGUGGCCCGAAAUGUAGGCUCAGGGGUGACAGGCUGAUCUGUGGAGAUGGAAGGCUGGAGCUCAGAGGCUGUGGGGACAACUGGCUCAGGGGUCUUGACCGAGGACCUUUGUGUCCUGCCCCGAGUGGCCCGAGGUGUGAGUUUGGGAGUGACAGGCUCGUCUGUGGGGGUGGAAGCCUGGAGCUCAGGGACUGUGGGGACAACUGGUUUGGGGGUCUUGCUAGAAGACCUGGGUGUCCUGCCCUGAGAUUUACGUUUGGGGGUGACAGACUGGCCUUUGGGGGUGGUAGGCUGGAGCUCAGGGGCUGUGGGAACAGUUGGUUCAUGGGUCUUGACAAAAGACCUGGAUGUCCUGCGCUGAGAUGUAGGUUUGGGGGUGAUAGACUGGUCUGUGGGGAUGGAAGACUGGACUUCAGGAGCUGUUGGGACAACUAGCUCAGGAAUCUUGACAGAAGACCUAGGUAUCCUGCUAUGAGUGGCCCCAGAUGUGGGCUCAGUGAGGACAGACUGGUCUUUGGAGGUGGUAGGCUGGAGUUCAGGGGCCGUGGGGACAGUUGAUUCAGGAGGGAUCUUGACAGAGGACCCACGUGUCCUGCCUCGAGUGACUCGAGAUGUGGGCUCAGGGGUGACAGGCUGGUCUUUGGAAGUAGAAGGCUGGAGCUCAGGGGCUGUGGGGACAAUUGCUUUGGGAGUCUUGACACAAGACCUACGUGCCCUGCCCUGAGUAGCCCCAGAUACAGACUCAGUGAGGACAAACUGGCCUUUGGAGGUGGAAGGCUGGAGCUGAGAGGCUGUGGAAAUAACCGGUUCAGGGGUUUUUACAAAUUUAUGUGUCCUGUCCUGAGAUAUGAGCUCAGGAGUGACAGACUGGUCUUUAGAGGUGGAAGGCUGAACAUCAGGGGCUGUAGGGACAACUACUUCAGGGGCCUUGACAGAGAACCUUUGUGUCCUACCCCGAGUGAUCCGCGAUGUGAGCUCAGGGGUGACAGGCUGGUCUUUGGAAGUGGAAGGCUGGAGCUCAGGGGCUGUGGGGACAACCAGUUCAGGGGUCUUCACAGAGGACCUACGUCUCCUGCCCCGAGUGACCUGAGAUGUGGGCUCAGCACUGAGGGGUUGGUCUGUGGGAAUGGCAGUAUGAGGUUCAAGGGCUACAGAAGAAACUGGAGAGGGUGUCUUCCUGGAGGACCCUCGGAGCCUGACUUUGGGUUUUGGCAAGGGAGUCUCUGGAACUUUCUGAUUCCUGUUUUGCCUGGUCCUGGGAAUGGGCUCUAAAGAAGAUGGAGAGGAAGAACAGAAGGGCUGAGGCACAGGAUGUUUUUGACUCUGAAAGAGGAGGGGGUUUUGGUGUGGGGCUGAAGCUUCAGGCACUGCAGGAGGCUGACAAGCAUCUGUGGAUUCCUGAUCACCCUGAGGAGAAAUAGAAGCAAGUGAGGGAGGAAGAGGCAGAAAGAAGAAAGACAGUACUUGAAUACUGUUCUUGAUACUUGUUUAUGGUUAGACUGUGUUCCUGGCAUUUCACUUGUCUAUGACCUCCCUUCCUAAGACUGGAAACUUCCUGGGGAGGGAGCAGUCCUCGUUCCCACAGACCCCACCUCAUGCUAGAAUAGUGUUCUCCAUUGAUGGAUGAUGGCAAUAAGAGGAUGGUUGGAAAAAAGGGAAAAGACACAAAAAAAUGGAUAUUCUGAGUUAGGUACAGGGAGACAGAACUUGAAAAACAGAUACAGAAAAUGACAGGUGCCAAGGGAAAGGGAAAGAAACCAACUAAGGAGUGGUGACAACAGAUUAAAACUGGGAAGACAGAGAAAGGAGUAGAUUGGAGCAAGGUUAGGGGAAGGAACAGUGGAAUAGGAGGAGGCAGAAACAGCAGCUCUCACCCCGAAGGCCUUCUCAGCAGGUGGCACCUCACAAGUCAAGUGGCCUAGACAGAAAGUAAAAACAAGUGUAGCUGAGGUCUAAGCAGUCAGUCACUUGGGGGUUGAUUAGCACGAAGGCUAACCUGGGUUCCCCUCUGUCUUCACUUACCUCUCUGCUGCCUCCUGGGGCUCAUUGGGACUCCCUCUCCUCCACCUGACUGGCUCCCAGAAGCUACUGAGGCUGAAGCAAGUCCCUGAUGACCGCCUGUCCCUGUUUCAAGCUCUAGUGUUGGACUGGAGGCUUGCCCUUCCUGGUCCUGGCUCCCUUUCUCAGUCUCCCCUCUCUGUGGGCCUCUCUCCAGUAUUACUUCCGGUACCUCAACUCCUAAUCCAUUUGGCUCACCCUCUCUCUCUAGUACUAGUUUCUCUGUUUCUCUCUCAAAUAUUUCUCUUGCAAGAAUCUGCUUUUCUAUUUCUUUCUCUUGUAUUUCCCUGGUUAUCUCAAUUUCUACGUUCAAACUAUCCAUAUUUCUUUUGAUACUUGCAAUUUUCACCUUUUGGUCAGACUCUUGUCCUUGAGUAUCUCUAGCUAACACCUGUAUCCCUCUGGUUAACUCUUCUUCUCCUAUCACAUCUUCUUGUUCUCCUGAUGGCAGGUUCUCAGUUUCCCUGUCCAAUGGUCCUCUCUCAGGGGCCACCCCCUCUGCUGCUUCUCUUGGUAUCCCCAUGUCUUUCUCCAUAGUCUGCAUCCCUUUGUCCUGAAUCCCCAAUGGCUCUAUGUGAACUGGGCUUCCUGGAUUUUGGCCUUGUGGUAUUGUCCAAGGUGUAGAGAGGCAGGAUCCAUGGGCAUCAAGAGGAGCAACAAUGGGCUCGGGCUCAGGGGCCUCAGACUCUCUCGGACAGAAUGGCUGUGUUGCCAAGACCUCCCACGGCUCAUCCAAGGUACCUGGAAGGAGAGAGGGAGAGAGAGAGAGAUACAGAUUGAAAAUGUAACAGGUUGAGAAAAGAUUAAGAUAAAUUCAUGAACAGUAAACCUAAAUGGAUUAUUAAAGGAAAGUUGGGAAUAAGGAGGACAGUUAUAACAUUUAGUAUUUGUCUAAAAAAUAAGACCGCACACACGUACAUAAAUUCUCAUGGGGUGCCUGGGUGGCUCAGUUGGUUAAGCAUUCAACUUCGGCUUAGGUCAUGAUCUUGUGGUUCAUGAGCUCAAGCCCCACAUCAGGCUCUCUGCUGUCAGCACAGAGCCUGCUUCGGAUCCUCUAUCCCCCUCUCUCACUGCCCCUCUCCAGCUCGUUCUCUCUCAAAAUAAAUAAAUAAAGUUAAAAAAAAAAAAAAGUUCUCAUAGCAGCCUCUUUAAAAAUGACGGAGGGGCGCCUGGGUGGCUCAGUUGGUUAAGUGUCCGGCUUGAUUUCAGCUCAGGUCAUGAUCUCAUGAUUCGGGAUACUGAGCCUUGCAUCAGGCUCUGCAUUGACAACGAGAGCCUGCUGGGGAUUCUCUCUCUCUCCCUCUCUCAAAUAAAUAAAUAAACUUAAAAAAAAAAAAAUUUAAAAAGAUGAUGGAGAUGGAGAAACAUCAGCAAAAGUCAAACAAUAUGAAAAAAACAUGUAGAGGGAGAAAGCAAUGAUGCCAAGUUAGGGGCAUGAAAGACAGAAUAGCUUAUACCUGUAUCCUGGAAGCUACAGCAGGAAGGACCAGGCUCUUGGGGUAGAGUAACCAGAAACGCCUGGGUGGCUUCAUCCUCCAUGCUCUGGGCUGUUGCACAAGAAAAGCCAACUCAAGCACAGCUCCUCCACAGAACUCCAGGGUCCCAUUCUCGGUUUCUUGCCUCACCCAUGCUAGCUUUCACAACCUUCAAGGACCACCACUUUGGGCUCCCAGGUCCCACCUGCACCAACAUCCACAUGACAUGGAUGUCCUCACCUUCCAGAUUCUGAUUGUCUCUCUCCACAAAGCACUGGGUAGCCUGUAGGUCCAGGUCUUCAGAAUCUGGUGGAGGAAGAAUAGAGGAUCGAUAAUAAAAACUCUACCUGACCCUUAAUUCCUUACUCUCUCUACCAUUUUCUCCCUAACCCAAAUCCUUCUGCAAUGGACCAAAUGUGUGUAUCCCCCAAAUUCAUAUGCUGAAAUCUAAUUUCCAACGUGAGUUUAUUAGGAGGUGGGGCCUUAGGGAGAUGAUUAGUACAUGAGGAUAGAACACACGUAAAUGGGAUUAGUACCCUUAAAAAGAGACCCCAGAGGGGCGCCUGGGUGGCUCAGUCGGUUAAGCAUCCGACUUUGGCUCAGGUCAUGAUCUCGCAGUCCGUGAAUUCGAGCCCCGCAUCGGCCUCUGUGCUGACAGCUCAGAGCCUGGAGCCUGUUUCAGAUUCUGUAUCUCCCUCUCUGCCCCUCCCCCGUUCAUGCUCUGUCUCUCUCUGUCUCAAAAAUAAAUAAACGUUAAAAAAAAAAAAAAAAAAAAAGAGACCCCAGAGAGUUCCCUUGUGCCCUCUGCCAUGUGAGGACAUAGUAAGAACACAGCUGCCUAUGAACAAGGAAGCAAGUCUUUUUUUUUUUUUUUUUAAAUGUUUUUAUUUUUGAGACAAUGCCAAGAGACAGGGUGCAAGCGGCCGAGGGGCAGACAGAGGGAGACACAGGAUCUGAAGCGGGCUCCGGGCUCUGAGCUGUCAGCAUAGAGCUGACGUGGGGCUUGAACUCAUGAACCGUGAGAUCAUGACCUGAGCUGAAGGCGGACACUUAACCAACUGAGCCACUCAGGCACCCCAGGAAGCAAGUCUUUACCAGAACAUGACCAAUCUGGCAUUUUGAUCUUAGACUUACCAGCCUUCACAACUGUGAAAAAUAAAUUUGUUAUUUAUAAGCCACCAGUAUUCUGUUAUUACAGCCCAAAUGGACUAAGAUACUCUAUAAGCAUUCUUUCUUUUAGGGGUCAAGGGAGAAGGCCAGCACUUACCACCGUGGUUGUCUCCAGAGUCCUGGGUCCUGUCCAUAUGUGGUUCUCUCUCCCUUUCUAUGGAGGUCUGGGCUCCCUCUCUCUGUGGCUGGAUGGAUUCCCCUGAAGUGCCUGUGACCACCAGAUCAUUAAUAUCCUCCCUUGAGACAGGGAGGUGAUCCUGCUCCACCUGUGACACAAGUGACCCACCCUGGGCCCUCGCCUCAAGAUCUCUCUUGUGCUCAAGAACAGCUACAGCCCUCUUUGCCCCAGCAUCCUCUUCUGCUGGAAUCUGGCUCUUUCUUAUAUCUGCCACCACUGAAGCUGCUAAGGAUAUGCCCUCCACAUUUGUCUCACAGUCCCCAGAUGGAGGUUGGGCUUCCUCUAGAUGCAUCACAGGCAGCUUCGCUUGGCCCUCUUCUACUUCCACAUCUGUUUGAUCUGUCCAUACCACAGGCACCUGAUGCUUCUCCACAAGUAUAACAGCUGACCCUGGUGGGACUUUCUCCUUCACUUGUAUGUUGAUGUCCACUGUGGCAGAGGCUUGGCUUCUCUCCAGAUGGACCCCAAGUGAGCUCUUAUCUUUGUCCACCCCUAGAUCACUGUUUUGGGGAGGAGGUUGCCUCUUUUCUGAAUAUGCCUUGUCUGUGUGACCCUUGAAAACAGUUCCUCUCUUUUCCAUUGGGAGCCCCUCCUCCUCCAUGUCUGUGUCGCUGUCUCUCCCAGUAGAGGUUUGGUUUUGCUCCAGAAGGGCCACAGGUUGGGCCCUGUCCUCUUCCAAAUCUGUAUCUCUGUUCCAUGUAGUGGCUUGGCUCUCUUUCAGAUGUGCCAAAGCGAGUGCUGCUAAGACUUCUUCCUCACCAUCUGUAUUGCUGUCAAUCACCACAGAGGCUCGGCUUCUCUCUAGAGGGACUGCCAGCUGGAUCUCACCUUCCCCCACAUCUGUAUCACUACCAGUUGGGCUCUCCUGUAGAUGUACCAAGGCAUGUGUCCGAGGACUCUCUGUACUAAUUCCAUGGAAGAUUUGCCUCUUCUUCAUAGGAACUACAGCUGGGGUUGCAGGGAUCUCUUCUUCUUCCACAUCAGUAUCACUGUCUAUGAAGUCAGAAGGCUGAGCCCUUCCCAAAUGGACCACAGCAGGCCUUCCUGGAGGCCUGCUCUCAUCAUCCACAUCUGUGUCACUGUCUUCCCCAGCAGAUUGGUUCCUCUCCAGUAUCACCCCAAGUGGGACCACCCCAUUCCUUGCAUCCCUUUCAACUUCUGUGUCAUUAUUUCUCUCUUUUACUGAACACUGAUUCUUUUCAAGCUGGAUUUCAGUU